CAAGGCUGGAAUGACUCACAUUGUUCGUGAGGUUGAGAAGCCAGGAUCAAAACUCCACAAGAAGGAGACUUGUGAAGCUGUGACAAUCAUUGAAACUCCACCCAUGGUUAUAGUUGGAGUGGUUGGUUAUCUUAAGACACCACGUGGCCUUCGCUCUCUUGCCACAGUAUGGGCUGAGCAUCUCAGUGAGGAGGUGAGGCGUAGGUUUUACAAGAACUGGUACAGAUCCAAGAAGAAGGCCUUCACAAAAUAUGCCCUGAAAUUUUCAACCGAGUCGGGGAAAAAAGAGGUUGAAGCAGAGCUUGAAAAAAUAAAGAAAUAUGCUACUGUUGUUCGUGUGCUUGCUCACACACAGAUAAGGAAGAUGAAGGGUUUG
rnacentral:misc_RNA from 1 species